CGACCCGGCUGAAUUCAAGCAUAUUAAUAAGCGGAGGAAAAGAAACUAACAAGGAUUCCCCUAGUAAUGGCGAAUGAAGCGGGAACAGCUCAAAUUUGAAAUCUCCGUCGCCUGCGACGGCGAAUUGUAGUUUCGAGAAGCACUUUCUCGGCGGAUCCGGGUUCGUCCAAGUUGCUUGGAAGAGCACGUCAUAGAGGGUGAGAACCCCGUCUG
rnacentral:rRNA from 1 species